rnacentral:misc_RNA from 1 species
AAGUCGUAACAAGGUUUCCGUAGGUGAACCUGCGGAAGGAUCAUUAUCAAUUCUAGCAAGUAACCCUUUAGGGUUCUUGCGCACGUAUUUAAAACCCCACACUUUAUGAAAUUUUAUAUAUAUUUUACUUUUAAUAAGUAAUUAAAAGAUCA